UGCCGCUUGUCCUGAAAGCACGUGCACUCGUCGUGUAGAGUAAAAUCCUGACAUGAAGUAACUUUGUCAUGGAGGGAAUGCCUCAGUGUGACAGGGAAUAUCUAGAGGCCCGGCAGGGAGUGCUACACCUUUUCUCUGUGUGCACACAGCUGAAGAGCAAAAGCCGUCCUCAGAAGGUGUGUCUGUGUCCGUUCCUGCCCGUACAUCCUCUAAAGGUCUCCACCUGCUUGUAUAUAAUCCAGCAUCCAGCAGAGGAAAGUCGAGUGUUAAGGACGGUACCUUUGCUUGCUGCUUGUCUCCCUCCAGACAAAUGUAAAAUUUUGGUUGGUCGACGUUUUAGUGAAGACAGGUAUCCUGAAUUAGCAACAGUGUGUAGGAAUCCCAGUACUCUAAUUUUGUAUCCUGGAGCUGAAGCAACCAAUUUGGAGGAAGUUGCAGUGAUGUCUCCUCGUCCAUCUGUUAUGAUCAUCAUUGAUGGAACAUGGAGCCAGGCUAAAGAUAUAUUUUACAAAAAUUCUCUCUUCCGUCUUCCCAAGCAGGUUAACUCUCUGUGUCCCCUGAGAGCUGCAGGCAGUAGUGGUGCAGGUCCAGGGAAUGGUAGUUUUGCAUCAGAAACGAUGCUUGGGUGUGUCAGUGUGCCAGGCAAGACUGAGCAGCAGUGGCACGGCCCAAAGCUCUCCUAUUAAUAAAUUGCACAAAAAUUCACAAACAACUAGAAGAGGUUCAGAGAAAGCCAGCAAAUGAUCAAAAUAUGAGAUGGGCUGCAUAGAAGAAACCCCAAAGUUCUUCACACAGCUGUUCACUGACCAUCUUGUAAUAUGCCUGAGGAGUUGUCAACACAAACUGCUCUCUGAGUUUCCAGAGUUUUGAUCUUUCAGCAAAGUCAGUCACAUCAACAUCUGCUUUAAGAAUUCAUUGCCAAUUUACCUUGUUGCUCAUGUCACAACUUCAUGCUGUGCAAAGGACUCUUCAGGAGGGCAUUCUCGUCCUUCCUCUGUAGGAACUGAUGAAGGGAUGCUCAAACUAUUUUCACCACUUCACUGAGCACUGUGUCAGUAAGAAACAAAGGAACUGCUCUUAGAGUGUGGAAGGUGAGCUCUGUUUUCAUUUGUUACAAUUUCCAAUUUGCAAUAUAGAGAGAGACUGAAUACCAAAUUUUGCCACAGAACCUAAAUAAAUGGACAAUGCCCAGUUAAAUUCUGCAAAGGAAAGAAGCAUGGUUGUGAAUGAGGGGUGUGGGUGGGCAGGAGGCGAAUCAGAACCCAAGGCAACAAAGGUAAGCCACAAUGGUUGCAGCAGGGAAAAUUGUUGUUAAGUUAGUACAAGAAAGUGGUAUAUCUAUUCAUCCAUACAUCCUCAUACUAAUGGAAGAAAAAUACUUCAUUUUCACUGACUUGUUCUAAACAUGUUUUUUAUCUUUAUCUGUGUGACACUGGUAAUUUCACUGAUAAUCCCACAGGACAACGCAGUUAUCCUUAAAGUGGAGAAGUCUUUGUAAGCUUUGAUAGUAAACCUUUGUUUGUGAGUUAUGGGGUUUUUUUCCAAUUGUGUAAUUUUUGAUGUAGCAAGAAAACUUGUUUUUAUGGAGUAAGUAGCUCACAUCCUCUCGUGUGUAUGAUAACUUGUGAGAUAAACAUAAUCAUUAAAACCUGUCGCAUAUUGUGAAAUGUUUGAUGUGUUCAGUUUUUAGCUGCUGUCUCAUUACAACCAUAAUAUUAAAAAAAAUAUUACAAAUCCUAGAGAACAAAGGACUGGCAGAAUUGAGAAGGCUGAGAUCAGAUGGAGAGAACUGGGAAUUAUUUUGGGUCAAGAUUACACGCAUGGUUGAGAUAUGAUUCUGAGCAAUCAAUAACAGUCUCUCCUUAUGACAUUUAGGUUAAUUUGAAUGACACUGGUCCAUUUUGACAUUUUUCUAGUCUGCUUCUUGUGCUUGGAAAUAUUCAACAAGAAACAAAGGGGAAUGUAUAUAUCCCUCAGGGAUUGGUACCGGGGCCGAUACUGUUCAACACCCUUGUCAGUGACGUGAACAGUGGGAUUGAGGGCACCCUGAGCAAGUUCACUGAACAUCAAGUUGUGUGGUGCGGUCGACACACUGGAGAGAAGGGAUACCAUCCAAAGGGACCUGGACAGGCUUGAGAGAUGUGCAUGGGCCUGUGUGAAGCUCAUGAAGUUCAUCAAAACAAAGUGCUACACCUGGGUUGUGGCAAUCCCAGACACACCUACAGAUUGGUUGGAGAACGGAUUGAGAGCAGCCCUGCCGAGAAAGACUUGGGGGUGGUUGUUGAUGGAAAACUCUACAUGAGCUGGCACUGUGUGCUCACAGCCCAGAAAGGCCUGGAGAAGCCUGGUGUGAUAUGAGGUGUCCCAUGGCCAAGAGGAUUGGGACUAGAUGAUCGUUUAGGUCCCUUCCAACCCUUAACCUUCUGUGGUUAAGGAUCAGAGUAUAGAGAUGGACAUAAGCAUCUGAAGUAACUUUCAAAAGCAUUGUUUACUUUCGUGAUAUUUCUAAACUACUGAAGUUUGCAGGUUUUUCUGCUGCCUUGUUUGCCUAAUCGAAAGAGAAGACUAUUGAAUUUGACUUUGUGAGGUCUCACAAGUGCUAAAUUGUUGAAUUCUGAUAGCAUCCCUGAGAAGAUGACAAAAAUUCGAAUUUCUUACAAAAAAUUUAAUGUGGGAUUCCUGGUUAAAACACUUCAGAUAUUACUGCAUAAUCAGAAAGAAGAAGGACCUGUUGUAAAUAGUUUCAUAGAAGAAAAGAAGUACUAAGAAGGUCACUGAAAACUAUCUUGUGUUUUUGUUUAGACCUUUGAUUUCACAGUGCAUUAAAACCAGAAAUAUGUAGCCUAAGGAAUGAUUAGGUAGUUGUUGGACUUUCUCAAAACAAUCUGCAUACAUGGUACUAAGUAUUUUGAAUUACCUGGUUAUCUUUCAGGCAAAACUGGGCUUUGGAACCUGAAUUUUCCCUUAACUUCAUGUGGUGUCAUAUGUAAAGAUGAUCAAUGUAGAUAUACAGAUUAGAUUAAAGAUAUAUUAGGAAAAGUGAGGUAUCUGUUUUGGUUGCUGUUUUUUUAACUUUAGUAAAUAUUUAGCUUGAAGUUCUUUCAAGUAUUUAAUAAAUGGAAGUUUCAUGUUUAUAUGUCAAUUUCUCUGGUCUUUACACAGAAUAAAUUACAAAGUAGGAAGCUUGAUAGGUGAGAAACUUGUCUUCAUAAGAUAAAUUAUACUAGUAGUAGUGGGGGUUUUUUACAGUGUUUUUUCUGUCUUGGUUCAUUUACCACAAUUUUUACAUGUGGAAAAUGUAAUGUUGUCAUAUAUGAUCAUAAAAACUUUGUAUUUAUUCUGAUUUACUUUUAAAGGCUGUAUUUCCUUCUUGUGUUCAUUGUUUCCUUGCACAGCCCAACAAAUUGGCUGAAGCACAAUAGGAGAAAUAAAAACUCGAAGUCUGGCAAGGGGUGGGGUGGAUAAAGCGCAUUUACUUGUGUUUGUGGUUUCUUUCCCCCUGAAAUGUCUCUCUUCUUUUGCUUUGUUUUGUUUUAAAAAACAAUAAAAUUCUUAGGAAUGUAAGAAUCUCUGUUUGUGAAGGACACAUUCCUUUUGCAAUUUACUUUAUCUUCUUGUCAAUCAGCUACAUCCGAGAGUAAAAGCAAGGAACAAAGUAGAAAAAUACUCUGUGCAAUCUGAGUUAUUCUCAUUGAAAAAGAAGGGUGAGAAUAUCUGGAAACACUAAAACAGAUUGUUUCCCAGGAUUUACUUGUGGUGUUCUCAUAUAUUUUUCUAUAUGUCAAAUUACAGGAUACUUAUAUUAUUUUGAACUUGUUUAUACAGGAAAGAGACAUAAUGAAGUACUAGAGGUGAUGUUUUUUAAAAAUAGUUGUCAUUUGACAUAAUCAUGGGACAAAGAGACAUUUUGUAGAAUUAUAUUCAGACUAUGGACAUGAAGUCAUUCAGUGAGUAGUUCUACUGAUUUCUUCUGGACCAUUUAUCUUUAUCAUAUAAUAGCCCCCAGCAAUGAAAUAUGGUUCUUAAAUUGUUUUGGUUCCAGAAGCAAAGAAAGGGCAUUCUUGAAACCACAUAGAGGUUUAAUGUAUUUUCAGUCAUGAACGACAUACUUGAAAGAAAAUCUGGUCACUGAUCUUACAGAGAGAGAUGUGUUUUGUAAGGGUGUAAAAAGGCUUCUGGUUUUGACCUGCAAAAGAGUUAAUCCGGAUCGAAACUCUGAAUUCAGUUCUUCUGCACAGGUUGAAAGGAGUGUAAAUAGGCAGUAGGCAGAACCUACAAACAGCCACUGUUCAGCAGAAGCAAUUAAGCUUCUCUUCCACACAGCAAAUAUUAUGUAUUUACUAUGGUAUCGCACCACAGCAGCGGUGAGAUAUCCUGAGGCUUGUUGUAGUAAUGAGACUCUGGAGUCUAACCUGACACCAUAAAUUGCCUGAGAGAAAGGGUUUAUGGGAUACCUGAAGAGAAGAGUUCCUGGGAAAUUGUCAAAGACAAUCUGCAAAAUGUUUCCUAGAAAUUGAACAGAUCACUUCAGGUUUACCUGAAAGUCACGAUAUAGUCUAUGACUUGUUUCACCAAAGAUAUUCCUAAAUAAUGGAUAUUUCUAAAUAAUCAAAAUAGAAUUUUGAUUAUAAAAUCACAGAUAAUAAAAUCAUAGAAUGUUAAGGAUUGGAAAGGGCCUUAAAAAUCAUCUUGUUCCCACCUGCUCUGCCAUGGGCAGGAACACCUCCCGCUAGACCAGGUUGCUCAAGGCCUUAUCCAGCCUGGCCUUAAACACUUCCAGAGCUUGGUCAUCCACAACUGCCUUGGGCAACCUGUUCCCAGUGUCUCACCACCCUCACAGUAAAGGAUUUCUUCCUGAUGUCUAAAUUCCCCUCUUUGGAUUUGAAUCCGUUACUCUUUGUCCUAUCACUACAAUUUCCUGUCAGAGUCCUUUUCCAGCUUUCCCAUGGGCCCCCUUCAACUACUAAAAGGCUGCAAUGAGAUCUCCACACAAACUUUUCAUCUCCAGGCUGAACAGCCCAAAUUUUCUCAAUCUGUCUUUGUAGGGGACAUGCUCCAGUCCCCUAAUCAACCUUGUGGCCUCCUCUGGACUUGUUUCAGCAGUUCCGUGUCCUUAUGUUGGGGACACCAGAACUGGGUGAAGUACUCCAAGAGUAGAGUAGAAGGGAAGAAUCACCUCCUGUGCCCUGCUGGCCACUCUCCUUUCUUUGCAGCCCAGGCACAGUUGGUUUCCUGAGCUGUGAGCACACAGUGCUGGCUCAUACUGAGUUUUCCAUCAACCCCAAGUCUUUUGUGACAGGGCUGCUCUCAAAUCACUUCUCAACCAAUCUGUUGGUGUAUCUGGGAUUGCUAUGACCCAGGUGUAGGACCUCCUUCCACUUCACUUUGUCAAGUUUCAUGAUGUUUACACAGACCAGGUCCCUCUGGUUGGUGUCCCUUCCCUCCAGGGUUUCAACUGCACCACACAUCUUGGUAUUGCCAGUGAACUUGC